UUCCUACGGGGCGCAGCAGUGAGGAAUAUUGGUCAAUGGACGAAAGUCUGAACCAGCCAUGCCGCGGGCAGGAAGACGGCUCUAUGAGUUGUAAACUGCUUUUGUACAAGGGUAAACCUGAAUACGUGUAUUCAGCUGAAAGUACUGUACGAAUAAGGAUCGGCUAACUCCGUGCCAGCAGCCGCGGUAAUACGGAGGAUCCAAGCGUUAUCCGGAUUUAUUGGGUUUAAAGGGGGAGUAGGAGGAUUGAUAAGUUAGAGGUG
rnacentral:rRNA from 1 species